GACGUAGGGCGCGAGCGUUGUCCGGAUUUAUUGGGCGUAAAGAGCUUGUAGGUGGUUUGUCGCGUCUGCUGUGAAAAUCCGAGGCUCAACCUCGGACUUGCAGUGGGUACGGGCAGACUAGAGUUCGGUAGGGGAGUCUGGAAUUCCUGGUGUAGCGGUGAAAUGCGCAGAUAAUCAGGAGGAACACCGGUGGCGAAGGCGGGACUCUGGGCCGAAUACUGACGCUGAGGAGCGAAAGCGUGGGGAGCAAACAGG
rnacentral:rRNA from 1 species